GAAUAUUGGGCAAUGGACGGAAGUCUGACCCAGCCAUGCCGCGUGCAGGAAGAAGGCCUUCUGGGUUGUAAACUGCUUUUAUAUAAGAAGAAAAAACUCUUGCGAGAGGAACUGACGGUACUAUAUGAAUAAGCACCGGCUAACUCCGUGCCAGCAGCCGCGGUAAUACGGAGGGUGCGAGCGUUGUUCGGAAUUAUUGGGCGUAAAGCGCACGUAGGCGGCCCGUUAAGUCUCAUGGUGAAAGGCCGGGGCUCAACCCCGAGCAUGCCGGGGAUACUGGGGGGCUGGAGACAGGCAGAGGCCAGCGGAAUUCCGGGUGUAGCGGUGGAAUGCGUAGAGAUCCGGAAGAACACCGGAGGCGAAGGCGGCUGGCUGGGCCUGAUCUGACGCUGAGGUGCGAAAGCGUGGGGAGCGAACAG
rnacentral:rRNA from 1 species